UACAGAGGGUGCGAGCGUUGUCCGGAAUCACUGGGCGUAAAGGGCGCGUAGGUGGUGGCUUAAGCGUGCGGUGAAAGCUCGGGGCUCAACUCCGAGUCGGCCGUGCGAACUGGGCUCACUGGAGCAUAGUAGAGGCAGGUGGAAUUCCGGGUGUAGUGGUGAAAUGCGUAGAGAUCGGGAGGAACACCUGUGGCGAAGGCGGCCGACUGGGCCGACCCUGACGCUGAGGCGCGAAGGCGUGGGGAGCGAACGGG
rnacentral:rRNA from 1 species